rnacentral:tRNA from 1 species
GGGGAUUUGGCUCAGCGGCAUAAGCGCCUGCCUUGCAAGCAGGCAGUUGUGAGUUAGGGUUAGGGUUAGGGUCAAUCCCUG